ACUCUCUCUGCUUGGCUGCAGGACCCGCUGAGGACAGGGCUCCCUAGGGCCCUCAUUAGUUUUUCUCGGAGGGACCCCUCGACUCAUUCGGAUCACUGCGGGAGCAGACAAGGACCAUCUCAUAAAAGGACCAUCUUCAUAAAAGAAAAGCAAACAGGAGGACCUCCCUGAAAUAGAAGAAAACCUUUCUCAGGUAUAUCUGGGAGUAUGGGCAUCUGAAGUUCCAGGUAAGGUGAAAAA